UACGUAGGCAGCGAGCGUUGUUUCGGAGUUUACUGGGCGUAAAGAGUGCGUAGGCGGUUUUUUCUAAGUUUUGGUGUGAAAUCUCCCGGCUUAACUGGGAGGGUGCGCCGAAGACUGGAAGGCUUGAGUAUGGGAGAGGUAAGCGGAAUUCCUGGUGUAGCGGUGAAAUGCGUAGAUAUCAGGAGGAACACCUGCGGUGUAGACGGCUUUCUGGACCAUCACUGACGU
rnacentral:rRNA from 1 species